AUCCAGCUGACGAGUCCUAAAUAGGAUGAAACGUGCAUCCUGGAU
rnacentral:hammerhead_ribozyme from 1 species